rnacentral:rRNA from 1 species
UACGUAGGGGGCUAGCGUUGUCCGGAAUCAUUGGGCGUAAAGAGCGCGUAGGCGGCCAGAUAAGUCCGGUGUGAAAGUCAAAGGCUCAACCUUUGAAUGCCGCUGGAAACUGUCUGGCUAGAGUCCGGAAGAGGAGAGUGGAAUUCCUGGUGUAGCGGUGAAAUGCGCAGAUAUCAGGAAGAACACCCGUGGCGAAGGCGGCUCUCUGGGACGGUACUGACGCUGAGACGCGAAAGCGUGGGGAGCGAACAGG